UGAUGUGUGGGUGAUCUGGAUGUGACAUCUGUCACCCCAUUGAUCACCAGGGUUGAUUUGGCUGAUCUUCUGGCUAAGCAAUUGUCCCCCUCCUCCCUCACAACUUCAUUUGUGUUCCUCCUGAAGCUGCGUACUCAGUUACUAGGUUGAAGAGGACAACCUCUUCCAACAGAGGAAAGGACCAUUCUUCUUCUGUCAAGGGUAUAUGAGUAGCUGCGCUCUCCUGCUAGGAUCUCCAAACAAGCUCUCAAGGUCCAUUUGUUGGAGAAGUUAGGCUAGUCAAGCUUCCAAGACUCCAGACAUAUCCAAAUGAGGCACUGCAUGUAGCAGUCUGCCUUUCUUA
ensembl:misc_RNA 7SK 7SK RNA